CGUAGUGGAGCGAGCGCCGCCAGAGAAAAACCCCAGGCCCAUUUGACUCUAGUCUCCGGUCUCUCUCUCCACUCUAACUACAGCCGGCCCGCGUCUCCUCGACCAUCACCACCUUGACGGUCUUCGUGAAGGUAUUUUUCUUCUUUCUUUGAUGCAUAUUAUUAGAAUUAGUUUGUUAGUUAAAAUUUGAUGCAUGAUUUUGGCUAGUUGUUACAAUUGAUGCAUAAUUUCUUGUUCAUUGUAAAUUAUUCGAUGUUAGGUUCAAUGUUUGGUUAUUUUUUUUAUGUCUAGUGAUCCUUCCUAAUAGAAGAAGGGCUUAAUGAUGUUUAUUUACACAUUUUUUAUUUAUGUUUGUAUGCUUAAUGAUGUUUAUUUACACAUUUUUUAUUUACGUUUGUAUGCUUAAUGAGGUUUACUUACAUAUUUUUUAUACAUUGGGUUAUUUAGUUUUUGAAAUGGAUGACAAUAGAAGAAGGGCGAUGUAUGAUGGAUUCAAUAGCGUGACUCUAGGUCACUCAAAGGAAUGGGUUAGGGUUGCAAAACAAUUCGUGGAUCUCGCAUUUUCCGGUGGACCUCGUGUGGUGAAGUGUCCGUGUACCAAGUGUCGGAAUUUUAAGUAUGUGAGAAAGAUCGAAGAACUGGAGCAUCACCUUUGCAAGAAUGGGUUUAUGCCUAACUAUCUUGUGUGGCGCUCACAUGGAGAAGUAGAGCAGAAUAUCACAGAGUCAGAAAGAAUUGAUGAUGAGGAGGAGGAUCGGAUGGAUGACUUGGUGGCUGAUAUUAGUAGAGAGUAUCCAACAUUGGCCUUGGAACAGGGUACACCAGAGGAAGUGCAGGAGUUUUAUAAGCUUCUUCACGCGUCAGAGGAAAAAGUGCAUGACAACACCACUGUGACCGUGUUGCAGGUGGUUACACGUCUUAUGGCAAUGAAGGCAAAGUAUAACUUCUCGAAUAACUGCUAUAACGAUAUAAUCAAUCUGAUUAUUGAUCUCAUCCCAUCGAACCAUAAGAUGCCAAAAGACUUAUACCAGUCUAAAAAGAUCGUGUCCGGUCUUGGGAUGAAGUAUAAGAAGAUUGAUGUGUGUGAAGAUAAUUGCAUGUUGUUCUGGAAGGAAUAUGAAGCGGCCACCCAUUGUUAGAUAUGCGGUAAAUCAAGAUAUGCGGAGGUACUAAAAGAGGAUGGAGCUACUUUUGCUACAAAAGUGGCAGUUAAACAGCUUCGAUAUAUGCCCAUCACCCCAAGGCUUAAACGUCUGUUUUUAACCCCAGAAACUGCGAAGCUAAUGUUGUGGCAUAAGGAAGGAGAACGUGAGAGCCAAGAUCCAGACAUUAUGAUGCAUCCAUCAGAUGGCGAUGCUUGGAAGGCUCUGGAUCGUUUUGACCCAGAAUUUGCAAGAGACGCUAGGAGUGUUCGCCUAGGCUUGUCCACUGAUGGUUUCACUCCUUACGACAACAGUUCAACUUCAUACUCUUGUUGGCCGGUUUUCAUCAUGCCCUACAACCCCCCUCCCAACAAAUGCAUGAAAGAAGGGUUCAUAUUUCUUGCCCUUAUUAUUCCAGGGCCUAAACAUCCUGGAAAGAAGAUCAAUGUAUUCAUGCAACCGUUGAUUGAAGAGUUCAAAGAGCUAUGGGUAGGGGUAAAGGCUUAUGAUGGUCAUCUAAAACGUGAAUUUACCUUACGUGUUGUAUAUUUGUGGUCAAUUCAUGAUUUGCCUGCAUAUGGUAUUUGGUCUGGCUGGUGUGUCCACG